GGGGGAGGGAUGUGAGUGCGGGGCGGUCUCUCAGUGCUGUGGAGCAGCGGGAGGAAGAGGUCUAUCGCUGAAGGACACCAGGAGGAGAACCUAGGAGGAGGAGAUACCAUCAGGAGGAGAUACCAGGAGGCAGCAGGAGGAGUCAGCAGGAGGAGCAGAGAAGAGGUCUUCGUCCCCUCCUGCAGAAGAAGAGAAGACAGGGCAGCAGGAGGAGGAGGUGGAGCAGGAGGAGAAAGGAUUUCACGGCUCUUAUCUUCCGUGCGGCAGCAGACGAGAGAUUGUUUCCCAGAAUCCCCAGCGUUGACUGCCCCCCGUGUCCCUCAGCCAAUCAGAACACUCCCUCUGGCUGCUACGGCAACCAGCCCUCCCCUGUGAGCUUGACUUGAUGUGAGGGACAACGUGUUGACGAGUCUUGACCUCCAGGACCGGAUCAGGCCCGGAUCAGGACCUCCAGGACCGGAUCAGGACCGGAUCAGGACCUCCAGGACCGGAUCAGGACCUCCAGGACCGGAUCAGGACCUCCAGGACCGGAUCAGGACCGGAUCAGGACCGGACCCGGGAUGUGACCCCUGACCCCGGACCCGCUGGGGCGGUGAACGGCCAUGGCCGGCGAGAGGUAGCGCUGUGGAUACCAUGGAAACCGAGAGAGAGAAGUCUCCGUCCAAGAGGCCCUGAGGAGAGAGCCCAUCUUGACACGCUUUGGUGACGCCAGAGAGAGAGAGAGAGAGAGAGAGAGAGAGAGAGAGAGAGAGAGAGAGAGAGAGAGAGAGAGAGAGAGAGAGAGAGAGAGAGAGGGAGAGAGAGAGAGAGAGAGAGAGAGG
ensembl:lncRNA